CUCCUGGCUCCUCCACCCAGAUUAACAAAGGACAGCCAAAGGCAUACCCAUGGUUUCACAAAAUGUGCAUGGAAACCAUACACUGGAGCUGGGUCACCAGUUUAUCAACCAGGCUCUGACUGCAGGCAGUACAGCUCCACAAUGACACUGGGCAAGACCAGGAUCAAUGACCAGUGAAAGUAAAUGGCAGACAACAGUUGUCUCUGCAGGAUGCAUUCACGGAGAGCUGGGAAUUUCCAUACCCUCCUGGCUGCCCUGCCUGAGAUGAUAAGUGCUUGAAUAUUUCACGGCAAAAAAGUCCUGGGAAAAGCAGAACUAUUUUUUUGUGAUAAAGGCUGGCUGCACAUUUUGGGAAGAUGAGUUUGUCAGGGAUGUUGCUGCACUCAGGCUGAACCUGUGGGAAGUGUGCCUGUUCCUAAUAAAUGUUGUGUGUAUUUAUGUGGCAGUCAUUGUGCUUUGCAAGGAGGGAGUCACAGAAAUAAUUAGUUAAGAGCGUGAGGUUUUUGGCACAGAUUCCCUUUCUCAAGUAGCUGUGAUGUUCAUAUAUAAGAAAAAUUGAUUUGGCAUCUAGACAGGAUUUCAGCACGCUCAUGGUUAUGGAAAUCAGCUAUGGGCAUGGAAGAAAUCUGUAUAUUGAUUCAUAAACUGACUUGAUGACUUGUUCAUGUUUUAAUGUUUUCAUGGACUUUUACCCAAGAUAAAAUUGUCAGUAAGUACCACUUGACUGUGCUACAGCACCAUCUAAAAUGGUGGGAAGAAUGCAGGAAAUAAAAGCAAUUUCCUAUUAGGCAGAAGACUUUAUUUUCUGUGCUAAUUAAUUUUUUCCUUAAAGAUGAGCAUUCUUUGUCAUUGCCCUUGCUAUUGAGUUAGAGUAUGCAUGUAAAUGACACCCAGUAAAAAAUGGUUUCCAGUGAUGGGCCCCCAGUUUCAUGGACAAUUUAUUUUGCGAGAGCUCAGGAAAGCCAGUCCUCCUCCUGCUCACACCAGGCUGCGUCCAUGCUGCUAGAGCUUCCACAGCUGUGUGUAGGUAAUAGAAUGAGAAUCACUUCACUUUGGUAUUGUGCAGUAGGACAAAAGCCAGUAUGGCUUGCUGAGUCUGUUUUUCUCUCCCUAGCUGGCGAGGGGUGUGUUUAGUCAGCAUCAGCACCAACCCAAGACUGCCUUGCAGAAAACACCUACUAAGAGACUGACUCCUCAGGAACAUGUUUCUCUGCAGGUUUAAAUCUUAAUCCCUGAAUUAUACCUCUGCCUGCCUCAUGGUUUCCUUUGGAGACCUUCCAGCAUUGACCAAUCCUGACCCCAUUUGACUUAAGCUAUGUGGGCUCGAAAUGGAGGCAGGAUGGCUGCUGGCCAUGAUUGAGAGGAAUGGAAAAUGGAAGCUGUGUCAUGUGCAACAUCAUCCAAGAUCCAGUGUGAUAACAAUGUGUGACCAAAUUCUGAUCUCACUUGUAGCAGUGAGCUUCCAUUCUGACUUCAGAAGGAAUCAAUGGGUGUAAUGUGAGUCACAACACACACACUGUGCCACAGCAGAGCAGAAUUUUUUCAAUAAAUACUGUCUCUUUUGUCAAGACAGAAAAAAACCUCUGGAGACCUAUACUAUAUCAAACUGCAAAAUUCAGGAAAGAGGCCCCACAGUAACAACAUUUUUGAAGGUGAAGGUUAUUCCUUGCAGACUAAAUCUUUCCUUACGACAGUUGGCUGCUCAUUUUCAGAAAAUUUCUGCAAGUUAGUGAUUAGUAUGAUUAGUGAUUAGUAUGUAAGAUUAAAAGAUCUCUGGGGCCUUGUUUGACACUACUGUGUUUGGACAUCACCUUACAUACUAAAAGCACCCAUGGAGAAAUCAGGGAGAUGUCUCAUGGUGUCUCAAGGUGGGCUGCUAGAGGCAGAGAUAUUUUCAUACCCUCAGGAAGAGAAAAAAGGCCAUUUUGUCAUUUGGUAGUUGGCUUCUUGCUGAUUAUUAAACAGUCUGCCAAAUCUGUGGUUAACGAGUGAUUUAAAUGUACUUUGAAGGCAGCUUUUGUUUCCUUCAGUUGCUAUUCUAAGAAAGAGCCCUUAAAAUUAAUUGACUGACAAACUGUAUAAUUGAUGCUGCCUUCGUAGCCUGCACUGGCCAAAACUGAUGGGAGCCCUGGCAUCUUGGUCAAGGCUGCUCUAAACCCUUCUGAGAACCUCUGCUUGCCCUCUCUUUAUGCUCUUGGGUAGGAGAGGGCAUGUUUAGUUUUCUGCUUACCCUUUUGUACUUGUUCAUUUGCUAGGUGCAUAAAGGAGAGGAGGUCAUUUGUGCACUUGGGAUAAAGAGGUAUUAUGAAUUCUAAAGUGUUUGCUUUAUUGGGAAAAGCACAGUGAGAAGGAGAGCUCAGGAACCUAAUGUGUGAAUUUUUAAUGAAUGCCGUGCCAUGUGUUUGUGCAGGUUUUUUGUUUUGUUUUUUUUUUUUUUUUUCUACCUGUAGCAGCUUUAUUCAUUUGGGAGAGUACUGUGUACAAGAUAUUCUUUAGUAGUGUGCUGGCUGCUGUUUAGUUUUAAUAAAUUAAAUCCUUUAUAUCAAUGUAAUAUUCUUUAGACAAGCACUUCCAAGACAGAUUAGAAAUGAACUUAAGGGGAUUAAAAGCUUCUCUUGCUAAAAACAAUGUUUCAGAUGGGAAAUCCACUUAUUUAUGUCACUUUCAGUGGACUACAUUUGGCUUUAAUAUGUUGCUACUGCUAAAGAAAGCAGUGCUUUGCCCAUGACUGCAGCCUUUCUGCUCUGCUUUACAUACACAGCAAUGUUUAUUUUCUUCCAUACAGUAAGUCACUUUGGGAAAGAUUGAUGGCUUCCCAUAAAAUUGCGAGAAACCAUUUUCUUCUUAUUUAGAGAAAACAAAAGAUUUAAUGAAUCUGGCAUUUUAAAUAGCAUCAGUCUCUUUGUAAAAUAGGAAAUUAUGGGAAUGGAAGGUAUGAGCAGAGAGAAAAAUCUGCUCUGAUUUUCCCUUGCUGUAUUAUAGCAGGCUGAAAACAUGAAUUGGAAGGUUGUCACUAUCUGAGAAAUCCUGGACACGUUGGGAGCAGCCUGGUUUAGCUGGUGUUAGCUCUGGUCUCUGCAGCAAACUGAGGGUGAGGUGCCAGAUUGCAGGCUCUUUCCUCUAGCUCAUAUCAGGUUCUCUAUUUUUAUAUCAAAACUUGCCCUAAUACAUGGUUCAGUGUUGUGCCAACCCCAAUGAUGGGUCUAUGGUACCAACCUGAAAUAUCUUGAUUUGAAAUAUAAAAUAUAUAAGAAUACAAUAUGUAACACAUAAUAAUGUACAAUAUAAUAACAUAUCUGUGUGUGUGUAUGAAUCAGUAUCUGCUGGGUUUGAUGUGCCACCACUCUGCAGGUGCUGCUGUAGAAGGAGAUGCUGCCUGUCCAUGCCCCAACACCUGACUCCUGCUCCACUGAAGACGUUUAGCCAGCAGAAGCUGUGUGCUUUGGUGAGCCCAGCAAAGCUGCAGCAGAGCCUCUCUCCAGAGCCUUGUCCUGCUGGAUAUCUGGCCAUGCUCAGAUGGCUGUGAACAUUAGCAGGAAGCCCUGCAGUCCUAGGCUCUGGUAGGAGCUUUGCAGUAAUCACCAGCCAAGGCACACAAUACUGACCUGGAAAAAGCUGGCUGCUGCCCAAUGCUCUCACACUGGAGUUUAAGCAGGGCGGGAACCAUCUCUGUGGAAUACAUGAGGAGGCUCUCCUGUGGGAUGAACCAGGACAAAAGAACAGUUUCCCUUUUCUUUAUGAAGAAUGAACUCUGCUCUGUGCAUGCAAUGGGAGUUGGAAUGAACGAUCCGUGGGAGAUACUUCCCACUCCCCCUGCCCCAGGAUGGGAUUUGGAGCACACAACACCCUUAUUGCUUCCCUCUCCUGGUCUGAGGGUUCUCUGGAAUGAUCUCAAGCCAUUGUACAGCUACAGCUCUGAGUGGCCACAUAGGGCUGCAUUUGAACCCCUGACCCAGGAACAAAAUAAAUUACGUGUGGACUGAGGUAUGGAUAUGGUGAGUGACAGAAGAAUAGCACUCAAAAUGGUGUUCAAGAGAUUCUGUAUUCAUUUAAGUAGUGUAACUGUUUAGCCAAUUUAUUCAUUUGACAAGUUCCUUUCUAACCAUCCUAAUUCACCAUUUAGCCUAAGAUGGCCUUCAUUAGUUUAUUAGAUAUUCAUCGGAAGAGAUUUUAGCAUAAAUACAGUUCCAGAGAGGAUUACCACCCAGGGAAUCUAUUCUUUUAACCUACUUAUUCUGCUAUCAAGUAUUUGUUGAAAAGGACUCGUAUUUACUUAGUCUCUUAAUGAAGUCUAGAAAAGCUUUUCUGCAAAGGGAAUAUUGUUUUGUCAAAAUUAGCUUACUUAAAUAGCUUUCAAAGCAGUCUGAGAACAAAGAUUUCAAAGCCACAGCUCCAGCCUAAUAUUUACUUUUUACACUGUACAGUAGUUUAGACUUGCCAGAAAAAGUGCACUUGUGCUUUUUUGUUUUGUUUUGUUUAAAUUUCUCUGCUUCUAGUUGUGAGAUAUAUAUGUCAUUUCUAGGGGUAUGGAACUAAUUGAGGAAUAUGUCCUGCCCUUGUUGAGGUGAACAGGGCAGAUAAAUAAAAACUCCAUUGGACAUAAAUCUCCUCCACCAACAUCAAAGAAACAGGAUCCUGCUAAGUGUAUUUGUAUAAUGCAGUAAUUUAUGCAAAAAGCAGCUUUUGUCAGCAAUGCAACAAAGCAGCUUUGAUAAAUGUCCCCUAAUUUAUUGUCAUGUAUCUCAAAUCAAAGUAAAACAUUUACAGCCUGCAUACUGAAGGAACCCAGGCCCAGGGUACUUAAAGGGUUUCUCUCCCUUUCCAUCUCCCCCCCCUUUUUAAAAAAAAAAAAAAGUACAAAAAGUCAAGUUGGGCAAAAGGUUAAAAAGGAUCUGUUUUGAAUGCUAAGUACUUUAUACAAAUUAUGGGCAAAAAUAAUAAUGAAUCCACUUAAAGAAUGACAGAAAAGCCUGUACAAAUUCAGAUUAAAAAAUCCUCUUAGCUUUUCUCUUAUGGGUGGUGUCUGACAAAUCAUAAUGGGGAUGCUGUAAUUGUGCUUUACAAGGACAAUUCCAGUUUCUCACGUUUCAAAGGAAUAAAAUGGUGCCUGCAGACACUGGCUGCUCUUCUCUCUCCGUCUCGCCUAUGGAUUCUCCUGAGCAGCCAUCUUUCAGAUGCAUGGCAUAUUUUGGAAAUCAGCUCAAGUGAAAUUUUGGGGAGAACCUUUAUUAUUGACUUCAGAUAGGAAAAUCACACCCUGGUAGAGGACGAGGCCAACAGUGCUAGCAGGUCUGUUCCCACCAAAGGUCUGAUGGUACUUGCAUGGUGCAGAAACAUUUUGAAUUUUCUCUCUACUUCUUGAGAGAAUUAUUAGAUUGGCUAGUUUGAUAAAUUCAGGCAGACUGCUUGGUCUUUCAAUGCACAACAGUUGUACGAAGGACUAUUUAUAUACAUACAUAUAUAUAUAUGUAUGUAAAUGUCUAUGUCUAUGUCUAUGUCUAUGUCUA